CCUACGGGAGGCAGCAGUGAGGAAUAUUGGUCAAUGGCCGAGAGGCUGAACCAGCCAAGUCGCGUGAGGGAUGACGGCCCUACGGGUUGUAAACCUCUUUUGUCGGGGAGCAAAGAGAGUCACGUGUGGCUCAUUGAGAGUACCCGAAGAAAAAGCAUCGGCUAACUCCGUGCCAGCAGCCGCGGUAAUACGGAGGAUGCGAGCGUUAUCCGGAUUUAUUGGGGUUAAAGGGUGCGCAGGCUGAGGUGCAAGUCUGUGGGCAAAUUGCGGGGCUCAACCCCGUACUGCCGUUGAAACUGCAUCCCUUGAGUGCGCGAGAAGUAUGCGGAAUGCGUGGGGUAGCGGUAAAAUGCAUAAAUAUCACGCAGAACUCGGAUUGCGAAGGCAGCAUACCGGCGCGCAACUGACGCUCAUGCACGAAAGCGUGGGUAUCGAACAGGAUUAGAUACCCGGGUAGUC
rnacentral:rRNA from 1 species